rnacentral:rRNA from 1 species
GACGAACGCUGGCGGCGUGCUUAACACAUGCAAGUCGAGCGGUAAGGCCCUUUCGGGGUACGACGAGCGGCGAACGGGUGAGUAACACGUGGGUGACCUGCCCUCAGCUCUGGGAUAAGCCUGGGAAACUGGGUCUAAUACUGGAUAUGACUCCACGGUGCAUGUCGUGGGGUGGAAAGCCUUGUGCGGCUGAGGAUGGGCCCGCGGCCUAUCAGCUUGUUGGUGGGGUGANGGCCUACCAAGGCGACGACGGGUAGCCGGCCUGAGAGGGCGACCGGCCACACUGGGACUGAGACACGGCCCAGACUCCUACGGGAGGCAGCAGUGGGGAAUCUUGCGCAAUGGGCGAAAGCCUGACGCAGCGACGCCGCGUGAGGGAUGACGGCC